GUGGGGAAUAUUGCGCAAUGGGGGGAAUCCUGACGCAGCGACGCCGCGUGAAGGAAGAAGGCCUUCGGGUUGUAAACUUCUUUGGCAGGGGACGAAGGAAGUGACGGUACCCUGAGAACAAGCCACGGCUAACUACGUGCCAGCAGCCGCGGUAAUACGUAGGUGGCGAGCGUUGUCCGGAAUUACUGGGUGUAAAGGGCGCGUAGGCGGGGACAUAAGUCAGAUGUGAAAGUCCAUGGCUCAACCAUGGGAUUGCAUCUGAAACUAUGUAUCUUGAGUACUGGAGAGGGAAGCGGAAUUCCCAGUGUAGCGGUGAAAUGCGUAGAGAUUGGGAGGAACACCAGUGGCGAAGGCGGCUUUCUGGACAGUAACUGACGCUGAGGCGCGAAAGCGUGGGGAGCGAACAGGAUUAGAAACCCUAGUAGUCC
rnacentral:rRNA from 1 species